GGAUCUGUACAGCUGUAAGCUGUAUGAGGGGAACAGCUGUAGUAUCGCUUAUCAGGAGCUGCGCCUUGGUCAUGCUGCUAAUCAGAAGUACAUUAUAGCAGGUGCAUUGGGAGGUGCAGGACUUCUUUUUCUAUUAGUAUCAUCUGUGUGUUACAUAUUCUACAAACGAAAUCAUCAAAAGAGGCCGGAAAUAAGCUGUGAACAUACAAUCGUAAAUGCAGUGUAUGACAGUGUUACUGUACCGAAAAGCAAUGACAUAGACGCUUUAGUGUGUGAAAAUCCAAUCUAUGCUACUGCUGGAAACUUAGAGCGGUACAGUACAGUACAGUAAAGAUCUUAUGCUAUAAUGUAUGUAUUUGGAUGCUUUAAUGUUAACAUAGAAUAAAAAUGUAGCAUAAUAUAUUAUUAAUAUGUUAUUAAUUGUAAUAAUUGUUAAAAGAAUGAAUAGUGCUGAAUACCUUAAUUAACUCAAAAAAAUGUAAUGAAUAAUUGUCAAGACUUGGAACUAGUAAAUAAAAAUAAGCAAGCAAGCUAAAAAAACAAACUGUAUCCACUUAAAAUAAAAAUGUCAACACUAUAUAAAAGUUAUAAAAGAUUUAUACAUCUUAUUGUUUAGUUUGUAAUGGCAAAUUUCAUUUACAGUUUUAGGUUUGUAGAGAGUGGUGGUGUAAACAAUUAGAUCAAGACUAGGGUCCUGACGGGUCCAUUCAAUAACAUGAAUUGUCUUCAUUUUAAACUAUCCAGAUGUUGCUUUUGGCUUUUGGAAUAAUAGCGACAUGGACUUAACACGAUGUGAACA